AACGAACGUUGGCGGCGUGGAUUAGGCAUGCAAGUCGAGCGAAUCCCCGCAAGGGGGGAAGCGGCGAAAGGGGCAGUAAGGCGUGGGUAACCUACCCCGGGGACUGGUAUAGCCCUUCGAGAGAAGGGGUAAUCCCGGGCGACGUGUCGAGGGGGCAUCCCCUUGCCACCAAAUGAGUUUCGCCCCGGGAGGGGCCCACGUGGUAUUAGCUAGUUGGUGGGGUAACGGCCCACCAAGGCGAGGAUGCCUAGCGGGUGUGAGAGCACGACCCGCGCCACUGGCACUGGGACACUGGCCAGACACCUACGGGUGGCUGCAGUGGAGGAUCUUCGGCAAUGGGCGCAAGCCUGACCGAGCGACGCCGCGUGGGCGAUGAAGGCCUUCGGGUUGUAAAGCCCUGUCGAGGGGGAGAAAGUGGAAACUUGAUCUAUCCCUGGAGGAAGCACGGGCUAAGUUCGUGCCAGCCGCCGCGGUAAGAC
rnacentral:rRNA from 1 species